UUUGCAGGUUACAUGCUGCGCUAUCUAAUGCAGUCAAGUUUUAACUGCUCAGCAACACUUUCAAGAUCACAAGGAGUUUUGCUGGCAAUGUAAUAGCCCUGCAAGGAAUUUAGACAUCUUCAGGUUUGGCAGCAGCUUUGCUGGUGUUUUAGCAUGUUCCUGAGCAAUCUUGAUGUUGAUUCUUGGUCCUUCUUCAGGGUGAUGGAGAAAGCCUUUCAGCAUACAGUAAAAAAUCAUACCUCAAAACCUUUCCCAACUCUCGCACAUCCUCUGGAAGCAAUCACAGCUGCUCCUACAGAAGGAGUCCCAGCACCUCCUGCCUACCCACCCCCUCCACACCAUGAAAACAUUAAAGGAGCAGGGAAAGAGAAUCAAAAUCCUGACUGUUUAGCAGAGUGUCUAGAACAAAAGGAGUGAAAGGUACAGGACUCUCAUGGGUGGGACAUCGAUCUACAAAGUACCAGCAAAGUACCAAGUACCAUGCCUCCCUUGAAACAAAGCAAAAGUAAAGGAAUCUAAAGAUUACAAAACUGCCAUAAA